CCCCUGUUAGCUCAGCAGGAUAGAGCAACGGUUUCCUAAACCGUAGGUCGGUGGUUCGAAUCCACUACAGGGGG
rnacentral:tRNA from 1 species